rnacentral:lncRNA from 1 species
UAAAUAAACUCAUUUUAUACAGAGAGAUAUUAUAGAGUCCUUGUCUAGGUCAAAUACCUAGUCAAGGCUUAUCCAAAUAUGGCAAGUUAAGGGGCGCCCAACUCUUGAGCACCUCCUCCAUAUUUUUGUGCAUGGAUCACCAGAAAAGGGUGCACAAUGUGUACCCUAAAAGUUAUGAAAAUUCUAAAAAAAAUUUGGAUAAAUUCGGUGCAAAAUUGAAAGAGUUUUGGAUUUCUAAAAUUCUAUCUCAUAGAAUUCGAAAUCCAAACUUAUUCCAUUUUGAUUUGAUCCAAACCACCUUCCAUGUA